UACGUAGGGUGCAAGCGUUAAUCGGAAUUACUGGGCGUAAAGCGUGCGCAGGCGGUCUCGUAAGACAGGUGUGAAAUCCCCGGGCUUAACCUGGGAACUGCGCUUGUGACUGCGAGGCUGGAGUGCGGAAGAGUGAGGUGGAAUUCCACGUGUAGCAGUGAAAUGCGUAGAGAUGUGGAGGAACACCGAUGGAGAAGGCAGCCUCCUGGUCUAGCACUGACGCUCAUGCACGAAAGCGUGGGGAGCAAACAGG
rnacentral:rRNA from 1 species